CUUUCCCUUUCCUUUUCCUUGGUCGAAGUUUGAAAUUUUUUUGCUGCUAUUUGCUUGGGCACACUCAUACACGACCCUAAAAGUCUGAUUCAAUUCCCACAAAACAACAAUUUUACCCACAAAGCUGUAAUCUUUUUAGCUUUCUUCUACUUUUUCUCAUCCCUUUUAUAAUCAGGUAGAUCUCUGUUUGUACGGCGAAGCUUUUUGGGCUAUUCUUUCA